GAAGGGUGCAAGCGUUACUCGGAAUUACUGGGCGUAAAGCGUGCGUAGGUGGUUCGUUAAGUCUGAUGUGAAAGCCCUGGGCUCAACCUGGGAAUGGCAUUGGAAACUGGCGACCUAGAGUGCGGUAGAGGGCAGUGGAAUUCCCGGUGUAGCAGUGAAAUGCGUAGAGAUCGGGAGGAACAUCUGUGGCGAAGGCGACUGCCUGGACCAGCACUGACACUGAGGCACGAAAGCGUGGGGAGCAAACAGGAUUAGAUACCCUGGUAGUCCACGCCCUAAACGAUGCGAACUGGAUGUUGGGUGCAACUAGGCACUCAGUAUCGAAGCUAACGCGUUAAGUUCGCCGCCUGGGGAGUACGGUCGCAAGACUG
rnacentral:rRNA from 1 species